UAGGGAAUAUUGGACAAUGGGUGAGAGCCUGAUCCAGCCAUGCCGCGUGCAGGAAGAAGGCGUUAUGCGUUGUAAACUGCUUUUUGCCAGGGGAUAAAAAGACCGUGCGCGGUUAAUUGAAGGUACCUGGUGAAUAAGCCACGGCUAACUACGUGCCAGCAGCCGCGGUAAUACGUAGGUGGCAAGCGUUGUCCGGAUUUAUUGGGUUUAAAGGGUGCGUAGGUGGCCCUGUAAGUCAGUGGUGAAAUAUCUCAGCUUAACUGAGAGGGUGCCAUUGAUACUGCAGGGCUUGAGUACAGAUGAGGUAGGCGGAAUUGACGGUGUAGCGGUGAAAUGCAUAGAUAUCGUCAAGAACACCGAUAGCGAAGGCAGCUUACCAAGCUGUAACUGACACUGAGGCACGAAAGUGUGGGGAUCAAACAGGAUUAGAUACCCGCGUAGUCCCUGAGCGGGCUGGCAAGGCGCAU
rnacentral:rRNA from 1 species